rnacentral:rRNA from 1 species
AACCGCGAUAGGUCAUCACUUCUGGAAUGGGUAAUGACUUAAACCUAUAUGGCCCCUGGAUUGGACUGCGGCCGAUCAGGCUGUUGGUGAGGUAAUGGCCCACCAAACCUAAAACCGGUACGGGCUCUGAGAGGAGAAGCCCGGAGAUGGGCACUGAGACAAGGGCCCAGGCCCUAUGGGGCGCAGCAGGCGCGAAAACUCUGCAAUAAGCGAAAGCUUGACAGGGUUAUUCUGAGUGAUUUCCGCUAAGGAAAUCUUUUGGCACCUCUAAAAAUGGUGCAGAAUAAGGGGUGGGCAAGCCUGGUGUCAGCCGCCGCGGUAAUACCAGCACCCCGAGUGGUCGGGACGAUUAUUGGGCCUAAAGCAUCCGUAGCCGGUUCUACAAGUCUUCCGUUAAAUCCACCUGCUUAACAGAUGGGCUGCGGAGGAUACUAUGGAGCUAGGAGGCGGGAGAGGCAAGCGGUACUUAGUGGGUAGGGGUAAAAUCCGUUGAUCCAUUGAAGACCACCAGUGGCGAAGGCGGCUUGCCAGAACGCACUCGACGGUGAGGGAUGAAAGCUGGGGGAGCAAACCGGAUUAGAUACCCGGGUAGUCCCAGCUGUAAACGAUGCAGACUCGGUGAUGAAUAGGCUUCGUGCCUCUUCAGUGCCGCAGGGAAGCCGUUAAGUCUGCCGCCUGGGGAGUACGGUCGCAAGACUGAAACUUAAA